AGUGAACGCUGGCGGCGUGCUUAACACAUGCAAGUCGAACGAGAACGGGUUAUAGCUUGCUAUAAUUGUCAGCUAAGUGGCGCACGGGUGAGUAAUGUAUAGGUAAUAUGCCUCUUACUAAGGGAUAACAAAUGGAAACGUUUGCUAAUACCUUAUACUCCUUAUUAACAUAAGUUAAUAAGGGAAAGAUUUAUUGGUAAGAGAUUAGCCUGUAUUGUAUCAGUUAGUUGGUGGGGUAAUGGCUUACCAAGACUAUGACACAUAACUGGUUUGGGAGGAUGGUCAGUCACACGUGAACUGAGACACGGUCCAGACUCCUACGGGAGGCAGCAGUGGGGAAUAUUGCACAAUGGACGAAAGUCUGAUGCAGCAACGCCGCGUGGAGGAUGACACAUUUCGGUGCGUAAACUCCUUUUAUAUGAGAAGAUAAUGACGGUAUUAUAUGAAUAAGCACCGGCUAACUCCGUGCCAGCAGCCGCCGUAAUAC
rnacentral:rRNA from 1 species